AAAAAAAAGUUCGGUUUCGAUUUAGAAUUCCUACGCUUUACCUUUUUUAUAUAUAAUAUUGGCAAGGCGUUUGAAUUCUGAAUCCGAAUCAACUGUUUUC
rnacentral:miRNA from 1 species